rnacentral:tRNA from 1 species
UAUAAGAUAGUAUAGGGAGUACUUAGAAUUUUGAUUUCUGCAGGAAAAGUUCAAUUCUUUUUCUUAUAG